rnacentral:rRNA from 1 species
AGAGUUUGAUCCUGGCUCAGGACGAACGCUGGCGGCGUGCCUUACCCAUGCAAGUCGAACGGGGGGAGCAAUCCCCUAGUGGCAGACGGCUGAGUAACACGUGAGUACCUACCCGACGCAGGGGGAUAGUCGUUCGAAAGGACGAGUAAUACCGCGUAAGCUCUCGCAAGAGAGGAGAGCAGCAAUGCGGCGUCGGAGGGGCUCGCGGCCCAUCAGGUAGUAGGUGGGGUGAUGGCCUACCUAGCCGAUGACGGGUAGCUGGUCUGAGAGGAUGAUCAGCCAGACUGGGACUGAGAGACGGCCCAGACUCCUACGGGGGGCAGCAGGGGGGGAUUUUGCACAAUGGGCGGAAGCCUGAUGCAGCGACGCCGCGUGAGGGAGGAAGGGUUUCGGCCUGUAAACCUCUUUUGACAGGGAAGAUAAUGACGGUACCUGUCGAAUAAGCCCCGGCUAACUACGUGCCAGCAGCCGCGGUAAUACGUAGGGGGCGAGCGUUGUCCGGAUUUACUGGGCGUAAAGAGCGCGUAGGCGGCUUGUUAAGUUGGCUGUGAAAGUCCCUGGCCUAACUGGGGAAAGUCGGCCGAGACUGGCAGGCUAGAGAGCGGUAGAGGAAGGUGGAAUUCCGGGUGUAGUGGUGAAAUGCGUAGAUAUCCGGAGGAACACCGGUAGCGAAGGCGGCCUUCUGGGCCGUUUCUGACGCUGAGGCGCGAAAGCGUGGGGAGCGAACCGAAUUAGAUACUCGGGUAGUCCACGCCCUAAACGAUGGAUGCUAGGUGUAGGGGGUAUCGACCCCUCCUGUGCCGAAGCUAACGCAUUAAGCAUCACGCCUGGGGAGUACGGCCGCAAGGCUAAAACUCAAAGGAAUUGACGGGGGCCCGCACAAGCAGCGGAGCGUGUGGUUUAAUUCGACGCAACGCGAAGAACCUUACCAGGGCUUGACAUGUGCAGGAAGACGGCAGAGAUGUCGUUGCCCUUCGGGGCCUGUGCACAGAUGCUGCAUGGCUGUCGUCAGCUCGUGCCGUGAGGUGUUGGGUUAAGUCCCGCAACGAGCGCAACCCUCGUCGCUAGUUGAAUAUCUAGCGAGACUGCCGAGACAAACUCGGAGGAAGGUGGGGAUGACGUUAAGUCAGCACGGCUCUUACGUCCUGGGCUACACACACGCUACAAUGGUCGGUACAAUGGGCAGCGAUAGGGCGACCUGGAGCGAAUCCCAUCAAAGCCGGCCCCAGUUCAGAUCGCAGUCUGAAACUCGACUGCGUGAAGGCGGAGUUGCUAGUAACCGCAGGUCAGCACACUGCGGUGAAUACGUUCCCGGGCCUUGUACACACCGCCCGUCACGUCAUGAAAGCCGGCAAGACCUGAAGUCGUCGGGCUAACCGCAAGGAGGCAGACGCCGAAGGUCGGGCUGGUGAUUGGGACGAAGUCGGAACAAGGUA